rnacentral:rRNA from 1 species
GUGCAGCAGUCGCGAAACCUCCGCAAUACACGAAAGUGUGACGGGGCCAUCCCGAGUGCCGUCCGCUGAGGACGGCUUUUCCCCAGUGUACACAGCUGGGGGAAUAAGGAGAGGGCAAGCCUGGUGUCAGCCGCCGCGGUAAUACCAGCUCUCCGAGUGGUGGGGACGCUUAUUGGGCCUAAAGCAUCCGUAGCCGGCUGGGCAAGUCCUCCGUUAAAUCCAACGAUUCAAUCGUUGGGCUGCGGGGGAUACUGUCCAGCUUGGGGGGCGGGAGAGGCCGACGGUAUUCCCGGGGUAGGGGUGGAAAUCCUAUAAUCCCGGGAGGACCACCAGUGGCGAAGGCUGUCGGCUAGAACGCGCCCGACGGUGAGGGAUGAAAGCUGGGGGAGCGAACCGGAUUAGAUACCCCUGUAGU